AUUGAACGCUGGCGGCAUGCUUUACACAUGCAAGUCGAACGGUAACAGGUUAAGCUGACGAGUGGCGAACGGGUGAGUAAUGCAUCGGAACGUGCCCGGUCGUGGGGGAUAACGCAGCGAAAGCUGCGCUAAUACCGCAUACGAUCUAAGGAUGAAAGCGGGGGACCGUAAGGCCUCGCGCGAUCGGAGCGGCCGAUGUCAGAUUAGGUAGUUGGUGGGGUAAAGGCUCACCAAACCAACGAUCUGUAGCUGGUCUGAGAGGACGACCAGCCACACUGGGACGGAGAAACGGCCCAGACUCCUACGGGAGGCAGCAGUGGGGAAUUUUGGACAAUGGGCGAAAGCCUGAUCCAGCAAUGCCGCGUGCAGGAAGAAGGCCUUCGGGUUGUAAACUGCUUUUGUACGGGGCGAAAAGGUCUCCUCUAAUACAGGGGGCUCAUGACGGUACCGUAAGAAUAAGCACCGGCUAACUACGUGCCAGCCGCCGCAGUAA
rnacentral:rRNA from 1 species